GACGAACGCUGGCGGUGUGCUUAACACAUGCAAGUGGAGCGACGAACCAGGGCUUGCCCUGGGGCAGAGCCGCGAACGGGUGAGUAACACGUGGGUAACCUACCCGAUGACGUGGGACAACACGAGGAAACUCGGGCUAAUACCGGAUGUGUCCGACGUCCACGAGGACGUCGAGCAAAGGAAGCUUCGGCCUCCGCAUCGGGAGGGCCCGCGGCCCAUUAGCUUGUUGGUGGGGUAACGGCCUACCAAGGCUGCGAUGGGUAGCUGGUCUGAGAGGACGAUCAGCCACACUGGGACUGAGACACGGCCCAGACUCCUACGGGUGGCAG
rnacentral:rRNA from 1 species